GCAUCUAAGCCACCAUGGAGUUUCUUCUCUCCUGCUCAACAGGACAAGCUGGGGAGAAAAGAAGCUGACCUGAACGGCCAGAGAGCUCACCACCUGCAGUUCCAGAGGAGUCUGGAUGUGGAGAUGCGAAGCGAGGUGGUGUCAGCCAACGUCAGGUUUUUACAGAACAUCCAGGAGGCAAUGGCCCAGGCAAUGAAGGAGCACCGGUACAACCAACUUUUCUC